GGGGAAUAUUGCACAAUGGGCGAAAGCCUGAUGCAGCAACGCCGCGUGAGUGAUGAAGGUCUUCGGAUUGUAAAGCUCUGUCUUUUGGGACGAUAAUGACGGUACCAAAGGAGGAAGCCACGGCUAACUACGUGCCAGCAGCCGCGGUAAUACGUAGGUGGCGAGCGUUGUCCGGAUUUACUGGGCGUAAAGGGUGCGUAGGCGGAUGUUUAAGUGAGAUGUGAAAUACCCGGGCUUAACUUGGGUGCUGCAUUUCAAACUGGAUAUCUAGAGUGCAGGAGAGGAGAAUGGAAUUCCUAGUGUAGCGGUGAAAUGCGUAGAGAUUAGGAAGAACACCAGUGGCGAAGGCGAUUCUCUGGACUGUAACUGACGCUGAGGCACGAAAGCGUGGGUAGCAAACAGGAUUAGAUACCCUGGUAGUCCACGCCGUAAAACGAUGAGUACUAGGUGUA
rnacentral:rRNA from 1 species